rnacentral:rRNA from 1 species
GAUGAACGCUGGCGGCGUGCCUAACACAUGCAAGUCGAGCGAUUCUCUUCGGAGAAGAGCGGCGGACGGGUGAGUAACGCGUGGGUAACCUGCCCUGUACACACGGAUAACAUACCGAAAGGUAUGCUAAUACGAGAUAAUAUACUUUUAUCGCAUGGUAGAAGUAUCAAAGCUUUUGCGGUACAGGAUGGACCCGCGUCUGAGUAGCUGGUCGGUAGGGUAACGGCUUACCAAGGCGACGGUCAGUAGCCGACCUGAGAGGGGGAUCGGCCGCAUUGGAACUGAGACACGGUCCAAACUCCUACGGGAGGCAGCAGUGGGGAAUAUUGCACAAUGGGCGAAAGCCUGAUGCAGCAACGCCGCGUGAGCGAUGAAGGCCUUAGGGUCGUAAAGCUCUGUCCUCAAGGAAGAUAAUGACGGUACUUGAGGAGGAAGCCCCGGCUAACUACGUGCCAGCAGCCGCCGCUGUAA